CGCAGCUCUCCGUCUCUAGCUUCUUCCGUAGCUUAGGGUUUGCAUCUCCGUCCUACCUGUGAUCCGCUAAACUUUAUCAGAUUAUACCCAGAUUAGCGUCUUUCUUCCGUUCUGGUCUUCAGUUCUCUGCUUUGGCAGUUUGUAGGUUAAUCAUAGUGUGAGUCCAUCAAUGGUGGUAGUCCGGUGGUUGGUGGUGGGGCUUGUGGAACUGUGGUUACAGCCGAAGUGGUUCUCUAGUGUACAGAAUCUCGGCCAUCGGCUUCUCCAGCCCGCACUCCGCCAUUGGCAUCUCCGGAUUGCUCUCCGGCAUGCACUCCACCAUCGACUCAAAAGUCUCGUUUGAGAAUCAAUUCAUUCUUCCUACCAGGGAAGUUGAUGAGAGAAGUACUCACACAUGCUGACAUGCAUAACAAAACAACAAUUUAGAGUCAGAUGUAAGGCAUUACAUCAAGAUAAGUUUAAAACAGCAAUCAGAUUUCGGUUAUACUAUAUUACCUAUCAGUGUUGCACUUGCCUUCUGGGAGGUAUAUCGGACGACCAGCACCCGCUAGACCCCAAAACUUCAUUCAGACAAAUACAAUUUUCUGUAAAAAGUCAAUGGUAGAAAUUAUAAAUCUAGACUACUCUAAGCUCACCUCCCCCCUGUAAAUGGUUCAUCUUUGGAGUUAAUUCUCAAUUGUAGGCCUCAACACACACCUUAAUCUUCAACCAAAUGUCUUCUUCCUCUUAUUGGAUGCUUUACCAAUUCUUCUCCCCUGCAGCCUCGUGGUUGCAAUGGAUGCUGCUCAUUUUCACUCUUUCCUCCACAUAUAUAUAGGAUAGGAAAGUUCAUUUUAAAAUUAAUAUUAGUUUUGAAAAUUGCAACAGUCAUCCCCAAUUAAAUUCAUUUUGUAUUCACACAUGUAUUGAUGACUUGUAAUAAUAGUUUAAGUAUAUGAAGAGCCUUCAAUCAACCUUUUA